UACGAAGGGGGCUAGCGUUGCUCGGAAUCACUGGGCGUAAAGGGUGCGUAGGCGGGUCUUUAAGUCAGGGGUGAAAUCCUGGAGCUCAACUCCAGAACUGCCUUUGAUACUGAGGAUCUUGAGUACGGGAGAGGUGAGUGGAACUGCGAGUGUAGAGGUGAAAUUCGUAGAUAUUCGCAAGAACACCAGUGGCGAAGGCGGCCUCACUGCCCGUAACUGACGCUGAGGCACGAAGGUCAGGGGAGCAAACGGG
rnacentral:rRNA from 1 species